rnacentral:rRNA from 1 species
UAGGGAAUCUUCGGCAAUGGGGGCAACCCCGACCGAGCAACGCCGCGUGAGUGAAGAAGGUUUUCGGAUCGUAAAGCUCUGUUGUAAGAGAAGAACGAGUGUGAGAGUGGAAAGUUCACACUGUGACGGUAUCUUACCAGAAAGGGACGGCUAACUACGUGCCAGCAGCCGCGGUAAUACGUAGGUCCCGAGCGUUGUCCGGAUUUAUUGGGCGUAAAGCGAGCGCAGGCGGUUAGAUAAGUCUGAAGUUAAAGGCUGUGGCUUAACCAUAGUACGCUUUGGAAACUGUUUAACUUGAGUGCAAGAGGGGAGAGUGGAAUUCCAUGUGUAGCGGUGAAAUGCGUAGAUAUAUGGAGGAACACCGGUGGCGAAGCGGCUCUCUGGCUUGUAACUGACGCUGAGGCUCGAAAGCGUGGGGAGCAAACAGGAUUAGAUACCCUGGUAGUCCACGCCGUAAACGAUGAGUGCUAGGUGUUAGACCCUUUCCGGGGUUUAGUGCCGUAGCUAACGCAUUAAGCACUCCGCCUGGGGAGUACGACCGCAAGGUUG